GUCGCACGAGAAAGGGCUUCGGCCCCGGUACAGUGGCGCACGGGUGAGUAACACGUGGGUAACCUACCCAUGAGUGGUGGAUAACCUUCCGAAAGGAGGGCUAAUACAGCAUAAGACCACGGGGCUUUGGCUCUGGGGUCAAAGCAGGCCUCUGCAAGCACGCUUGCGCUCAUGGAUGGGCCCGCGUCCCAUCAGCUAGUUGGUGAGGUAAGAGCUCACCAAGGCGACGACGGGUAGCUGGUCUGAGAGGAUGGCCAGCCACACUGGAACUGAGACACGGUCCAGACUCCUACGGGAGGCAGCAGUGGGGAAUCUUGCGCAAUGGACGAAAGUCUGACGCAGCGACGCCGCGUGGGCGACGAAGGCCUUCGGGUUGUAAAGCCCUGUGGGGAGGGACGAAGGCCGCUGGGCGAAUACCCUAGCGGGAUGACGGUACCUCCUUAGCAAGCACCGGCUAACUCUGUGCCAGCAGCCGCGGUAAGACAGAGGGUGCAAACGUUGCUCGGAAUUACUGGGCGUAAGGCGCGUGUAGGCGGUUCCGCCAGUCUGGUGUGAAAGCCCGGGGCUCAACCUCGGAAGCGCAUUGGAUACUACGGAGCUAGAGUCCUGAAGAGGAGAGCGGAAUUCCCGGUGUAGAGGUGAAAUUCGUAGAUAUCGGGAGGAACACCAGUGGCGAAGGCGGCUCUCUGGACAGGAACUGACGCUGAGACGCGAAAGCGUGGGGAGCAAACAGGAUUAGAUACCCUGGUAGUCCACGCUGUAAACGAUGAGGACUGGGUGUUGCGGNNNNNNACCCCUGCGGUGCCGAAGCUAACGCGUUAAGUCCUNNNNNNGG
rnacentral:rRNA from 1 species